GACGAACGCUGGCGGCGUGCUUAACACAUGCAAGUCGAACGGAAAGGCCCUGCUUUUGCGGGGUGCUCGAGUGGCGAACGGGUGAGUAACACGUGAGUAACCUGCCCUUGACUUUGGGAUAACUUCAGGAAACUGGGGCUAAUACCGGAUAGGAGCUCCUGCUGCAUGGUGGGGGUUGGAAAGUUUCGGCGGUGGGGGAUGGUCUCGCGGCUUAUCAGCUUGUUGGGCGGGUAGUGGAUUACAAAGGCUUUGACGGGUAGCCGGCCUGGGAGGGUGGCCGGCGACCAUAGGCCUGCGAUACGCCCCAGACUCGUACGUGAGGCAGCGGUGGGGAGUAUUGCGCAGUAAGCGCAAGCCUGAUGCGACGGCGCCGCGUGCGGGAUGACGGCCUACGGGUUAUAAACAACUUUCGAAUGUGCCGAGGCGUGAGUGACGGUACUGGGUAAGAAAGCACCGGCUAACUACGUG
rnacentral:rRNA from 1 species